rnacentral:rRNA from 1 species
AGAGUUUGAUCCUGGCUCAGAACGAACGCUGGCGGCGUGGAUUAGGCAUGCAAGUCGAACGAGUACCUCGCGCUUAUAUUGUUCGCAAUGUAAAAGCGAGGGGACAGUGGCGAACGGGUGAGUAACGCGUAAGUAAUCUGCCCCUAACUGUGGAAUAACUCUUCGAAAGGGGAGCUAAUACCACAUGUGGUCCCGACACGACAUCGUGUCGGGAUUAAAGGUGUGUCUCGCUUGCGGGAUAUGUCGGUUAGGGAUGAGCUUGCGUCCUAUUAGCUUGUUGGUGGGGUAAUGGCCCACCAAGGCUCUGAUGGGUAGCUGGUCUGAGAGGAUGGUCAGCCACACUGGGACUGAGACACUGCCCAGACUCCUACGGGAGGCUGCAGUCGAGAAUCAUCCGCAAUGGGCGAAAGCCUGACGGUGCGACGCCGCGUGGAGGACGAAGGCCUUCGGGUUGUAAACUCCUUUCACCCGGGAAGAAAAAUCAUUUCGUGAAUAACGAGGUGACCUGACGGUACCGGGAGAAGAAGCCCUGGCUAACUCCGUGCCAGCAGCCGCGGUAAUACGGAGAGGGCUAGCGUUGUUCGGAUUUACUGGGCGUAAAGGGCAUGUAGGUGUCCCGAUAAGCUCUGGGUGAAAUCUCCGCGCUCAACGCGGAAAAGAAUCAGAGAACUAUCGGGAUUGAGUUCAGAAGAAGAGAGUGGAAUUCUCGGUGUAGCGGUGAAAUGCGUAGAUAUCAGGAGGAACACCGGUAGCGAAGGCGGCUCUCUGGAACAGUACUGACACUGAGGCGCGAAAGCUAGGGGAGCGAACAGGAUUAGAUACCCUGGUAGUCCUAGCCGUAAACGAUGGACACUAGGUGUCGGGGGUGUCGACUCCCUCGGUGCCGAAGCUAACGCAUUAAGUGUCCCGCCUGGGGAGUACGGCUGCAAGGCUAAAACUCAAAGGAAUUGACGGGGGCCCGCACAAGCAGUGGAGCAUGUGGUUUAAUUCGACGCAACGCGAAGAACCUUACCUGGGCUUGACAUGUACGUGGUAGGAAUCGGAAACGUGCCCGACCCUUCGGGGAGCGUACACAGGUGCUGCAUGGCUGUCGUCAGCUCGUGUCGUGAGAUGUCGGGUUAAGUCCCUUAACGAGCGAAACCCUUGUCUCUAGUUGCCAGCGGGUAAUGCCGGGGACUCUAGAGAGACUGCCGGUGUCAAACCGGAGGAAGGUGGGGAUGACGUCAAGUCCUCAUGGCCCUUACGAGCUGGGCUACACACGUGCUACAAUGGUCAGUACAGGGGGCUGCUAACCCGCGAGGGGGAGCCAAUCCCAGAAAGCUGAUCGUAGUCCGGAUUGGAGUCUGCAACUCGACUCCAUGAAGUCGGAAUCGCUAGUAAUCGCGAAUCAGAAUGUCGCGGUGAAUACGUUCCCGGGCCUUGUACACACCGCCCGUCACACCAUGGGAGUGGGUUGCACCAGAAGUGGCUAGUCUAACUUCGGAGGACGGUCACCACGGUGUGAUUCAUGACUGGGGUGAAGUCGUAACAAGGUAACC